GCUGCGGACGCUGUCUGGCUCGGCGCCCCGCCGGCCUCUGCUCCCGGCCAGGCCAACCAGCCGACGGAGAUUGAGAAGUGGCUGCCUGAACUAUUUUCCAAAGGAUAAACAUUACAAAGCAUUGAAUCCAGCACUUCACCAAGAAGCUCCUAUUGGUUUGGGGGGAACACUACUUCCAGCAGCCACAAGGGAUGCUGCUCCUCAGGUGCCGUCUGAAACGAGCUCUUCCUCAGAAGGUUUCCUGUAGGUUCUGGGCCGUGAUGGGGAAACUGCAGAGCAAACUCAAACACAGCACUUAUAAAUACAGGCCUGAUGGAAUUACAGAAGAGAGAGUUCAGACUAAAGCUUUUCAAGAGUAUAGCCCAGCCCACGUGGAUACCGUCUCCGUUGUUGCUGCUCUGAACUCAGACCUUUGUGUCUCUGGAGGAAAAGAUAAGACAGUUGUGGCCUACAAUUGGAAAACUGGAAAUGUGGUGAAAAGGUUCAAAGGACACGAACGUGAAAUCACCAAGAUAGCCUGUAUUCACAAGUCAGACCAGUUCUUCAGCGCCUCUCGUGACAGGAUGGUCAUGAUGUGGGACUUGCACGGUUCCUCACAGCCAAGGCAGCAGUUCUCUGCCCAUGCCAUGGUGGUCACUGGAUUGGCUGUGAGUCCAGACUCGUCACAGCUGUGCACUGGCUCUCGGGACAACACCCUGCUUCUGUGGGAUGUGGGGACUGGACAGUGUGUGGAGAGAGCUUCUAUCUCCAGGAACCUGGUCACUCACCUGUGCUGGGUCCCUGGAGAACCAUAUAUACUGCAGACUUCUGAAGAUAAAACCCUCAGAUUAUGGGACAGUCGGGGGCUGCAGGUGGCUCAUCUCUUUCCCGCAAAGCAGCAUAUUCAGACCCACUGCGAGGUCAGUGAGGAUGGACACAAGUGUAUCUCCUGCAGCAGCGGCUUCGGAGGGGAAGGCUGCGAGGCCACGCUGUGGGACCUAAGGCAGACACGGAACAGAAUAUGUGAGUAUAAGGGGCAUUUCCAGACUGUUGCAUCCUGUGUCUUUCUACCAAGAGCAUUGGCCUUGAUGCCUGUGAUUGCUACCUCAUCACAUGACUGCAGGGUGAAGAUUUGGAACCAAGAUACUGGAGCUUGCCUUUUCACCUUGUCUCUGGAUGGAUCAGGACCUUUGACUUCCUUGGCUGUUGGCGACACCAUGUCCUUAUUGUGUGCAAGUUUCAGCAGAGGAAUUCACUUACUCAGAGUGGACCACGGCCGAGGGCUGGAACUGCGGGAAGUGGCAGCGUUCUGAGGCCAAGAGACAUUCACUGGACAAUAUCAAACUGCAGCCCCCCCUUUCUCAGUGUGGCUUUGUUUUUGCAUGUUACCUGGAGGGGAGGAUGAUGUGGGGCUGGUGUUCUUUGCUUAGUUUCACUUAGAGGGUAAAUCAGUGUUAGAAGGCAAUUUCUUCUGUUAGAAGAAAAUCAGGUGCAGAGUUUAGAAACAUGGACUAAACAUAAGGUUUUCAAUCAGAGUUAAAUCCAAAGGCAAUUUUUUUUUUUUUUUUUUUUUUGGUGAGGAAGAUCAGCCCUGAGCUAACAUCCAUGCCAAUCCUCCUCUUUUUGCUGAGGAAGCCCGGCCCUGAGCUAACAUCUGUUGCCAAUCCUCCUCCUUUUUUUUUUUUUUUUUCCCCCAAAGCCCCAGUAGAUAGUUGUAUGUCAUAGCUGCACAUCCUUCUAGUUGCUGUAUGUGGGACGCGGCCUCAGCAUGGCCGGAGAAGCGGUGCGUUGGUGCACGCCCGGGAUCUGAACCCGGGCUGCCAGUAGCGGAGCACGCGCACUUAACCGCCAAGCCACGGGCCCGGCCCCCCAAAUGCAAUUUUUAAUGAGAUUUUGGAACUGUUCUUCAAAAAAACAAGUUUAUGGCUCAAAAUGAUGACCUGUAGGUGUGAGUGAUAGGCCUCUGUCUGUGAGGCAGAACACAGGGUCUGAGCCUAUUGAACUGACCUUUUCCACAUCUCCACAGAAGAAAAAAAUGGAGUGGGAGAGAAACUGUUUUGGUUGCCUCAGAAUUGUCUAGAUGGGGAAGAAUGGGGCAGCGCCAUAGAGGAAAUGGAUUGCAGACAUGAGAUUGAGCUCCCAUUGCUGCUCCUCAGCAGCGUAAAGAAUCAGAGAUGGGGCAGGAAAGCAAAGCCUUGGCUUCUACUCGGAGUAGUAGCAGAGCGAGAGGUGGCACAAGCUGUCUGCUUCUGGUACCUUCCGAGACCGGUGCUGAGGGUACAUGAAAAUAAGACAUGGGCCGGCCCCGUGGCGUAAUGGUUAAGUGCGCGCACUUCGCUGCUGGCGGCCUGGGGUUGGGACCCCGGGCGCGCGCCGAGGCACUGCUUGUCAAGCCAUGCUGUGGCGGCGUCCCAUAUAAAGUAGAGGAAGGUGGGCACGGAUGUUAGCCCAGGGCCAAUCUUCCUCAGCAAAAAAGAGGAGGAUUGGCAUUGGAUGUUAGCUCAGGGCUGAUCUUCCUCACAAAAAAAAAAAAAAAGAAAGAAAAAGAAAAUAAGACCUGGGCUGGCUUGAAGUGGCUGACAGCCACAGGGCCUUCUCCAGAGUUGUAGGAGUCGUCAAACCUGUUCUGCGGAUAAGGAAAUGGAGAAGUUCCAAGAUUAAGGCCCAAAAAGUUUCAUUUGUACAUUUUAAUAUUUUUAUUUAGUUUUAUAUAAACUCUUUCUUGGGCAUGGCCAGAGUGAGGGAAAGGGAGUCUCUGCAAUGACAAUAGAAUGUAGAGAAAAGAGUAGAGGAUGGACUCGCCUGUGUGCCAUUGAGCCCCCCUCAGUGAGGAAGGGCAGGGUGCUCAGGUCUGCCUGUGUGGCCCCCAGGAGGUCAGUCUGGUGCUCACAAGCCCAUUUUCCUCCAAGGAAAGUAGAGUCCCUCCUGCCUUCAGGCGAGCCCACACAUAAGGCCACUGAGGCCUGGAGAUUCCCUUUCUGAUGAAUCCCAGCCAAAGAAAGAUUUUGCGUUUGUCUUCUCUCGCCCCUGCCUGUCCCUGACCCCAGGGGCUGACAGCCGUCUUGUCCCCUUCUGCUCCUCCUUAGGGCCUGCUCUCCCACGCCGUCUCCACGGACGGGCGGAGAGCCGUAAGCUAGUGCACAGCGUCAGGCCUGAGUUUGAAUCUCCUCUUCUCCAUUUAGCUGGAUGAUCUUGGGCAAGUUGUAAAAUCUCAGCUUCCUCUUUAUAACAUGGAGCUCAUAAUCAUACGUUCCUUGCAGGGCUGUUCUGAGGACUGGUCGUGACUAUUAAAUGCCAAGCAAGGUAGUGGGAGCUUGCAAAUGGUAGGCACAGUUAUUUACUGCCCUCUCUGUGCAGACGAAAUGCUCUCCUUUCCACACGAAACAGUUCCCGUUCCUUCACCCGUUCUCCUUAGAUCUUAUCUUCUAAACCUGUAGUCAUUGUUGGGCUUCCCUUUAAUCCCUUCAGUUACGGAUCUUUGAGCUCUGGAAGGACAGAGGGGUAGUGGGAGAGGAAGCUACUUCAUUGAGCACCUAGAGACGGCUGAAUACAUUUAUUCUCACUACAAUUCUUAUUGUUAUUUCCAUCUCACAGAUGAGGAGGCUGAGGCCCAGGGACAUGCAGUCCUUUGCCCAAAGUUACACACACACAGGAGAUGGAAAAUAUGGCCUCAAAUUUCUCCCAGCCCUGUAUGUGUGACCUUUUUGCAAUGUGACUUCUCACCAGUAGGUAGUAGGAUCCAUUUCUCCACCCUUGAAUCUGCUCUGGUCUUUUGACUUGGUUUGACUGAUAGAAUGCAGAAGAAGGAACGCUACACAACUUCUGAGGCUCAGCCUUAAGAGGCCUGGCAGCCUCCCUUCCACCAUCUUGGAAUGCUACUCCGAGAUCUCCAUGUCAGGGAGGCGACCUGGGCCAUGUGGAGAAGACCUGAACACCACCAGAUACAUGAACACGGUCACCUUGGCCCUUCCAACCCUGCCACAUCUGCAGCUGAACGCAGCCGCAGAUGAAAUCAGAAGAGAAACUGCACAGCUAUCCCACAGAAUCAUGAAAAAUAAGAAACCAUUGUUUUAAGACACUAAGUUUUGGGGUAGUUUGUUAUGCAACCAUAGAUUUAAGUGAAACAAGUAUGUACUCUUAUUUUUGGUCAGGCUUCUUUUGCUUAACAUAAUUUGUGAGAUUGAUUCAUAUUGUUGCAUGUAGUUGAAUAUCAUUCCUUCUCAUUGCUGUACAAUAUUCUAUUGUGUGAAAAUAGUAUAAUUUAUCCAUCUAACUACUGAUGGGCAUUUGGAUAGUUUCUAAUUUGGGGCUCUGAUAAAUAGUGCUGCUAUGAACAUUCUAAUAAUGUCGUUGGUGAACAUAUGCAUGCAUUUGUGUUCAUCAUAAAACUAGCGGUGGCCUUUCUGGGCCAUAGGGUAAUUUGCAGGAUUGGUUUUAGUAAAUACCACCUCUUUUCCAAAAAACUUGUCCCAGUUCACAUUCCCACUCACUGUGCAGGGAGUUAGUGGAGUUUUAGCUGUUCCACAUCCUUGCCAACACUUGGUGCUCUUAAACUCUGCAACCCUCGGUUUUAAAGAUGAGUGUGUAGACAUUGACGUGCACACCAGGGAGGUGUGAGCUCCACGAGCCAACAUUGGAG